rnacentral:lncRNA from 1 species
UGGUUGUUAUGCUGCUGUAUGGGAGGAUUAGCUUGCUGUGAUGCAUUGAACUGAUUCGGUGCCUGAGCUAGAUUAUGUUGCAGUUGGGCAUACCCUCCUCCGUGGUUGUUAUGCUGCAGGAGAGGAUUAGCUUGCUGUGACACAUUGAACUGACUUGGUGCCUGAGACAGAUUAUGUUCCCAUCCCUUGGUUAUUAUGCUGAUUCGGUGUCUGUUGCAGACUAUACAUAAAAAAAAAAGUGUUAGAAAAUGUGGAUCUUACCUCUGCAGGCUGUUGCAAGGAGCAGCCAACAACACUAGAUAGGACAAGCUACUUUACAUUUAGCAGCAAAACAACAAGUACGUCAGCAACUAGGAAGUUUGUGAAUACGUAUAUUAAACUAAAUAACCAAAACAAAUAGAAUAUGCAAAUUAAUUAUCAAAACUAACAUUGGAACUAGAAAUGUGAUUGCUAAUACUGAAACCAUCGGAAGAAGCAGAAGCAAAAGCAAAAAUUGUGGCAGUUCUGAAGGUUAAAGUUUAUAAGGAAUUUUUGUCGAAUGAAGAGCAUUUGAAAGGGCAUAAUAGAGGAAGGGGAGAAUUG